UUAGAGGAAGUAAAAGUCGUAACAAGGUCUCCGUUGGUGAACCAGCGGAGGGAUCAUUACCGAGUCUAACAACUCAUCAACCCUGUGAACAUACCUAAACGUUGCUUCGGCGGGAACAGACGGCCCCGUAACACGGGCCGCCCCCGCCAGAGGACCCCCUAACUCUGUUUCUAUAAAUGUUUUUUCUGAGUAAACAAGCAAAUAAAUUAAAACUUUCAACAACGGAUCUCUUGGCUCUGGCAUCGAUGAAGAACGCAGCGAAAUGCGAUAAGUAAUGUGAAUUGCAGAAUUCAGUGAAUCAUCGAAUCUUUGAACGCACAUUGCGCCCGCCAGUAUUCUGGCGGGCAUGCCUGUUCGAGCGUCAUUACAACCCUCAGGCCCCCGGGCCUGGCGUUGGGGAUCGGCGGAGCCCCCCGUGGGCACACGCCGUCCCCCAAAUACAGUGGCGGUCCCGCCGCAGCUUCCAUUGCGUAGUAGCUAACACCUCGCAACUGGAGAGCGGCGCGGCCAUGCCGUAAAACACCCAACUUCUGAAUGUUGACCUCGAAUCAGGUAGGAAUACCCGCUGAACUUAAGCAUAUCAAUAA
rnacentral:rRNA from 1 species